AGGGGUGGGAAGCCGAUGGCUCAGGACAGCCGUGAUAACCCGGCACAGAAGCAGAGUCGCAUUUCGGAGCGUCCACUCAUAAUGGGCACACAGAGCCUGUAUUCCAGGGAAGAGAAGGCCAGGGCGGCCCUGGAGAGGUUGUAGGUGCAGGCUGGUUGGUGGUGGAGACCCUGCCGGGCUCAGGAAGGCACUGUUCUUUCCUCACUUCCUUCCCAGCAUGCACUUGUACAUGCUGUACAUACACUCCAGUCUCUUCAGUACCACAACAGGACUACAAAUUCUUUAGAGGAUGUACAGCCAAACAAGGUGACCGCCUGCCAAGAGAGCUUAUUAAGAGAUUUCAUUUCUUGUGCAUCCAGAUAGUUCUUGGCUGGAACUCCCUUCAUUAUUCUUCUGGAAACAUAGCCCACAGCGAUGAUUGGGAAGAUUACCAUCAUUCUCCUGUCUUCCUUAGACCCAUGUUUCCACAGCUCCAGGUAUUUCUUCCUCACCAACCUCUCCUUUCUGGACAUGUGCUACACCACAAGCAUUGUGCCUCAGAUGCUAACUGACCUGAGGGCCUCCACAAAGACCAUC